AAAAUGUAUUUUUGGGGAGUGAUGUCAGGGUCACUUCCCCCAAUAAGAUACAACAAAAGGAACCAGUCACAGACCAAUAAUGGACUCCUAGACAGUGAAAAGGAAGAUCAGAAAGAUCCACACUGCCGCACAUCUGAGAGUGGAAAGUGCUGGGCCCCUGCAGGAAGUGAGGAGAGGUUCUAAGAUUUGCUGACACAUAGCUGUCAUUUGCCAGCCCUGGUGAUUCCACUACUAAAUGAUCCAGCUCAGGAGGGAGCUGAGAGAAAAACCUGUGCAUGCUUCAACAUAUGGAUUUGGGAGGACACAAUUCAGUCCAGAAUAAGGGGGUA